GUUCAACUAACUUCCUGGUAAACAGAUCAGAGAAUAAUAGAAUCUCAGUGUUGAAAGGACUGUCAGUCAUCAUCUCGUUCAACCACUCACCUGAAAAUCUCAACUUUCUUUUAGACUUGCCCAGUUUUACGUGUGAAAACCGAAGACUUACCCAGAGUCACAGAAAGAGUGGUGACAAUCAGGACUAGGAUCCAGAGAACAUGAAUUUUUUCCUGGCUCCUGAAAAAGCAGCGUUUCUCUUCCAAAUGCAUGAACACGGAACUCUCAUCACAAUCUCGCCUUAUUUACAUGAGAGUGUGGAAAACAGACACAUGAAGCACCCUGGCUGUUUGGAACUGAAAACAAGUAUUCUUCUAUGACAGGAAAGCACUAAAGGUCAAAUGACUCUCAGAGCUGGGGCAGGCACUCUGAUCUCAGAGUCCCACAGAGAGGGCGGCGUUCCGGGGACGUGGGGCCCUUGUCACGGCAGCUCUUCUUCCCGUCUUCCUAGCAACCUUCACACCACCCCUCCCCCACUUCCCAAGGCUCUUACCAGGCCUGUGCUUCUGUGGCCUGUGGAAGAAGUGGAAGCUUUUGCAGUCGACAAGAGAGAAGGAGGUGAUGUUCCACCAUGAGCUCUGGUAGCACUUUACUUAGCUUUCUUUUGGGACACCUAGAAAAUGGCCACUCGGAAAAAUCCUCCCCUAAGAGGGCUGAUUUUCUGAGACUUCUUUUGCUCUGGGCCAGAUAAAAAGAACUGGAAAAAGAAGACAGGCCUUCUGCUAUUAUGUAACCAGGGUGUCUGGCCUUGUUCAUAUCCUGGCUUCCUGAGGGACGUCACUUCCUUUCCCAAUAUCCUUUGGAUGUACUGGUAGAUAUGCGGGGUCUUGUGUUUCCCUUGCAAUUCUUUUGGGAUGAAAUGAUCUUCUUUCUUACUGUCUCCUUCCUGUCCCUCCUUCUUUUCCUCUCUUCCUUCCUUCCUUCUUUCUUUCCUUCCUUCCUAUGCAUUUUUCUGUCAGAUUUUCCUUUGUCUUUUUCCUGAACAUGCCACCAGGAGAAAGUCAUGAUUGUCUUGUUGAGUUCCUUCUGCAUUUUGGAACAGUCUUGGGAAGAUGUGUUUUUAUGAAGCAACUCAGGAACUUGAGCUAUCUGCAAUGACCUCUCCCCCCUCCUCUGGAGUAGACCUUCACUUCCAUAAUCAGGAUGGCUUUGGAUCCUUUUCCCAGAUCACUCUGUUACAUGAUUCUAUACUACAUGUGAUCCAUUUUGCUAGGAAUGAACUGAUAUUAUUAUUAUUAUUAUUAAUGUUUUUAUUUAUUUCUGAGAGACAGACAGAGAGAGACAGAGAGGGACAGAGCAUGAGCAGGGGAGGGGCAGAGAGAGAGGGAGACACAAAAUGUGAGGCAGGCUCCAGGCUCUGAGCUGUCAGCACAGAGCCCAACGCGGGGCUCGAACUUGUGAACUGUGAGAUCAUGAUCUGAGUCAAAGUUGGAUGCCCAACCGUCCAAUAUUAUUAACUUGACCUUUAGGUGGUAGGGUAACAAUUCUGUAGGAUAAUGAGGAGAGGCUUUUAGAACAUGCACAAUGUAGUAGAGGGGUAGAAAGAAAGAGAGCUUUGGGAUUAUUCCACCCUAUGUUCAAAUCCCAAGUUUGUCACCUGUGUGACAGCAAGAAGGUCACUAUAACUUUUCUGAACAUCAGUUUCCAUACCUGAAGAAUCGAAGCAAUAAUAUUGCUAACAUUAUGGGAUUAUUGAAGGCCGAAGUCUUGACUUCAGAAGAUGCCUAAUGAAUGUAAACACCUCAAUUUUCUUGCUGAUAAUAGAAGAGCAGACCCUCCUACUUCUCUUGUAAACAUUUUUCCUAUUGACUGGACUUACCACUUACUGAGGGCUUACUUUUUGCCAGCUCCUCUUCUUAGCAUUUUGUUUCAGUUAAUCUUCAUUACAAUCUCAUGACCUAGAGAUACUUUGAAUUGACCUGUGAAAAGCUGUGACUUUCAAGGGGGCUAAAUGACUCACUGAGGACACCCAACUGGGAAGCAGCUCAACAGUAGAGCUGGAUUCAGCUUUCCCCUGUCAGGCUCGUUCCAGAACCCUCACGUUGAACUACCAUGCACACUGCCUUCCAGUAGCGUAUAUCUGGGGCAAGCAUUUCCUUUGGUAUUUCCAAAGCAGGAAGUCCAAUGGGAUAGCCAGACCUUUCAUAGAGACAUAAGAAUUAAAAUAACUCGGCUGUGAUCAAUGGGAAGAGGUGUUUCACUGAGACCUGCUGUUGAAGUAAUCAAGGACUCAUUACUCGAAGAAAUUGUUUUCAGCUUGGAUUCACUUUUUGCUGCCGGGUCUGGGCUCGUCAUCAUGGACAGAAGGCGUACUUGUUAAUGCUGGUGUGUUAAAGUUGAACAGUGCCCAGAGCCAGGCACCUGCAGUAAUUUCUCCAUGUAUUAAAGCCUUGAGGCAGGUCUAUGAAAGGCGGUAAUAGGCACAUCUUGGAAAAGACUGUUUUUUUGCAGAUUGAACAAAGGUUUGGAAACUAAAAGCCACUUUCUCUUUUUAAAACUGUAAGAUCUAAUAAUAUUUAUAAGAAAAAUAAAAAUGUCAUUCUGGCGGGGGGUGCGGGGUGGUUAAAUCCUUUUCCUAAACUUUCUCUGCUAGUGCUUUUCUUACCCCAACAUAUGAGCUGAUGAAACACAAGGUGUGUACCUAGUAGUUGCUGGCAUGUUUCAGUAACACAGUAUAUGCUAAAAGAUCUGAUUUCAGAACUGCCACCUACAUGGGUAAAAGCAACAGCAAUGAUCUGUAGGCAGCGGUUUAAUAUGGUUCUUAAGGCAGAUCGCCGAAAUUCAAGUGGAGUCCAGACAGCUUCCCCACUGUGCCCCAUAGUCUGAAUUCUCUUCUCUAAAUUUUCUUUCCCAGGUUCCCCCAGAACCUCUGUGGGAAGAUGGAGAUGAAUUUCUAUGUGGUGUACGUAUGAAUGUCGUGUAUGAUGUGGUGUGGAUACGUGUGGAGUGCACGUUUGUAAGUGUUUGGGGUGUGCAUAUGUGUGUCGGGGGAGUGAAUGUGUGUUGUGUGGUGGGGUGUGUGUUACGCAUGUGGUAUGUAGUUAUGAGUGUGGUGUGUAUAUGUAUGUGGUAUGUGUAUGUAUGUUGUGAGUGUAUAUGUGGUUUGCGUGUGCGUGUUGUAUUCAUAUGCGGUAUGUGUGUGGUAUUUGUGUAUUUGUGUGUACCAUAUGGGUAUGUGGUACGAGUGUGUAAUAUGUAUUUGUGCACAGGGUGUAUAUGCUUGUGAUGUGUAUAUAUGCAUAUCUGCAUAUGAGGUUUGUGUGUUGUAUGGUUGUGUGUGAUGUGUCUGUGUGCGUGGAGGUGUGUUUAUAUAGGGUGUACAGGUGUAUAAAUUUAAGUGCACAUUUAAUUGUGUGCAUAUGUGUGUGGUAAAUUUGUAUGUGGUGUACAUAUGCUUGUCGUAUGGGGCGUGAAUGUGAGAUGCACUUGUAAGAGGUGGGGGGGUAUGUCUUUGUUCUGGAUGUGUACAUGUGUGUUAUGUGUGUACAUGUGUGAUAUGUAUGUGUAUAUAUUUGCAUAUACACUUGAGGUGGUGUGCAUAUGUGUGUAGUGAAUUUCUAUGUAGUGCGUAUGUAUUUGUAUGUGGUGUGUGUUUGCAAGGGUUGUAUGUUCAUGUACACUGUGCGUGCAUAGGGGUAUGAAAUUUAUGGCGUGUAUAUAAUGUGUAUUUGUGUGCAUUUAUAUAUGGUAUGUGUGUGUAGUAUCUAUAUGUAGCCAGUGUGUACAUGUGUGUGGGGUAUGUAUAUAUGAUGUGUGUAUAGGUAUGCUUGUGGGGGGCGGUGUUUGCAUGUGGGAUGUUUUUGUGCGUGGUGUCUCUUGUUGGUGUGUGUGAUAUGUUUGCAUGUCGUGUGUGUGUGUUAUGUAUACGGUGUCUGUAUGAUGUCUGUAUAUGUGUGUGUGGACGUGAGAGACAGGGGUAUGUGCCAUAGCUACCGGUAGCCAUUUAUGUGUCUCAGAAUCUCUGAAGAGCUAUUCAAAACCAUUAUGGCAAUUGGUUCUGUCUUUGAAAUAAGCUAAAUACAAUAGUAAUAGAAAUAACUGCUCUUUUUUCUCGGUUCUUCCAAAGUGAUGAUAGGUUGCAGACAGGAACGACUAACCAGUUCCUUCCAAUAGGCCUCCUUUGCCCAUGAUCCUCUGGGGAGCUGUUGCAAGGGACGUGGAGGAAGAGGAGGGCGUGUGGAAGCGUUAAAAAGGCGUAAAAUCAUUCAUUGUUCUGUAUAUGUGUUUCCUUGCAAGUCAGAGACAUUAGAUCUGCAUCGGCAAUUGCCCUUCCUGCAAGUGGACUCAUACUUCAGGUUGACUUUAUUUGGCUCAAAUCGGGUCUUAAAAAUUGGAUAAGGUCUUAUUUCUCAAUAUGAAAAUAAACUUGUUCAUCUGCAAGUGCAUCGCCCCCUCCCCACCACAUAGCCUCCUUUGAAGCCUCCUCAUCUCAGUAUCUAAAAAUAAAAAUCAUUUCUUCUGGCAGUUAAAAACUCCACUUUCCAUUUUUUCAUAUCACUUUUUUAUGAGAUUUCUGAAAAAUCAACCUGUCCUGGAUCUGAGGCACAGAGACAGAAUCGCUAAACAUUCAUGCCAUGUGUCCCUACAUGCACUCUAUUCAAAGAGUCGGUCUAAAAUGCAAUUUGGAAACUGAAACAACAAAUCUUUUCUCAGAAUCCUCUGGCAGAAAAGCCGAGGUUGCGCCAGUUAAGAAGUGCACCAAAUCUUAAUUGCUCCCCCGGAGCCAAUCAUUAGGUGAAAACCUGCAUAAUGUUCUAUCUCCUGCGCGAUGCAGACGCUGACAUAUUUCUCAUUUUGUUGUUUCCUGCCAUUUGGAGAUGUCGCUAUUUGUCACACGCCGAACAGGAGGAGAGAACAGCAAAGUGCAUUUCAGUUACUGGGGCAAUUGUUACAAAUAACCGAUAGUUGUGGCUGUUUUGAAAGGCUUUCCUCUGUGGCGGUGUGAGGUGAGGCUGCCUGGCAUUAGGGCUCUGAGCCUCACUGGCAGUGAGCUGCUCGAAGGGGCUGCAGUGGCCAUGCCUGGUAUUUGGGUGAUGAAUGGCCGGGGCUUAAACGCUACCCCCUCCAAGCCCCCCCCCCCUCACAAGUCCCCCCUACCUUAAACAGAACAAUUUCACUUAAAUUUUUUUUAUAUUAGGGUGUUUUAUAACAUUUAAUUAAAGAAAAAAGGAGUAGAUAAGCCAACUGCACUAUAACCUUAAAAGGGAUAGAGACCCUGAGUGAUGAAUGACGGCCUCAUACACAAGAAUGGCAGGUGGCCAAAUUUUAAAAUAUUCUUAACAGUCACCAAUCCACCCUGUUCCAGCGUCAACAGCCAUUGAUCUAUAGGAGAAGUCUCUGAUUCAAAAUCUCCAUGCUGCCUUGGUUCUUCCCUAUCAGAAACAUGAUUAACUGACUAUGAAACUGGAAAGACAUGCAAGAGAUGGACGAUGAAACGUCUUAUAAGCCAGAUUAAAAGGAUGGAUUUUAUCUUCAAAGUCAUAGAAUUCCAUAGAUGCAGUUUCAGCAGGUUUGAGUUUUACAGAGAUCAUUGUAGCUGACGGGUGGAAAAUUAAGUGAAGAGUGGGCAAGACUGGAGAUGGAGAGACAAAUAUGAUGUGAUUGAUUUUUUUCUUUUCUCUCUAUUUGUGAUUAAAAAAAUGUAUCUCUGUGAUGGACAAUAGGGUAAGUAAGAACAAUGUCAAUAGAGCACUUGUGAAAUAAAGUCAUUUAUUUAUUCCUUCAGGUA